AUGAACGCUGGCGGCGUGCUUAACACAUGCAAGUCGCACGGUGAAGGCGGAGCUUGCUCUGCUGGAUCCGUGGCGAACGGGUGAGUAACACGUGAGCAAUCUGCCCCUGACUCUGGGAUAAGCGCUGGAAACGGCGUCUAAUACUGGAUACGAGCUGCGAAGGCAUCUUCAGCAGCUGGAAAGAACUUCGGUCAGGGAUGAGCUCGCGGCCUAUCAGCUUGUUGGUGAGGUAACGGCUCACCAAGGCGUCGACGGGUAGCCGGCCUGAGAGGGUGACCGGCCACACUGGGACUGAGACACGGCCCAGACUCCUACGGGAGGCAGCAGUGGGGAAUAUUGCACAAUGGGCGAAAGCCUGAUGCAGCAACGCCGCGUGAGGGACGACGGCCUUCGGGUUGUAAACCUCUUUUAGCAGGGAAGAAGCGAAAGUGACGGUACCUGCAGAAAAAGCGCCGGCUAACUACGUG
rnacentral:rRNA from 1 species